CAACACUUGUGUUGUUUAAGCCACCAUUAUUUUGGCCUUUGUUAGAGCAGCUGAACAUGUAUCUCAACUGGUAAAGGAUGCAGGCAACUAGAAGACCAGUCAGUGCAAGUACAACAGAUGUUGAGAGGAGAAUAAAUCAAACCAAGUGAUCCAGGAAAACAUCAUAAUAGAGAAGAAGUUUGGCAGCUUCAAGAAGCCACCGUGUUCCUAGGCUCACUCCUCUGUAUCUGCUCAUCUUCAAAGUCAGCAAAGGCCGGAUGACCAGAUAUACCGUAUUAACAGACCUCAAAAGUGACCUGAACACAGAAUACUAGUCACCUGUCAACAGUUCUGGACAGCACUGACCAGUAGUGCUGGUCAGUAGGCAGCAGUGUUCAUUCUACAACCUUUUUUUGCAACUUGAAUCAGUCUCUGACCAAAUUGAGAA